GUGCUUGCUUAGGGAGCACAUAUAUUAAAUUGGAAUGAUACAGAGAUUAGUAUGGCCCCUGCGCAAGGAUGACAUGCAAAUUCGUGAAGCGUUGCAUAUUUUU
rnacentral:snRNA from 1 species